UUGUUGGUGGUCCAGUGGUUAGGACUCUACAUUCGCACUGUUGAGGGCCCAGGUUCAAUCCCUGGUUGGGAAA